rnacentral:lncRNA from 1 species
GCGGGGCUGCAGGAGUUGGGAGAAGCCUCCGUGUGCUCGGGGCCCGAGGUGCUGCUCUGGAAGCAGGAGCAAGGCUCUUGAUCAGCACCCAGGGGUGACCCGAGGGCCCCUUUGGGGAAGGGGAGGCCUUCUGUCCUUCCGGAGAAUGAAAGUGCCGAAGGCCCCCUCCAUGUUCAUGAAGAUGGCUGCCUUUUACCAGUGCAUCAAGCCUGAGCCCAGUGAGCUGGACAUGAUUUCCACGAGGGUGAUGGACAUUAAGCUUCGGGAGGCUGCAGAAGGCCUUGGGGAGGACAGCACAGGAAAGAAAAAGUCCAAAUUCAAAACGUUUAAGAAGUUCUUUGGGAAGAAGAAGAGAAAGGAGUCGUCUUCUUCCACAGGAAGUAGCACCUGGAAGCAAAGUCAGGCGAAGAACGAGGUCAUGGCCAUCGAGUCAGGACCAGUGGGCUACGACUCAGAGGACGAGCUGGAGGACUCGAGGGGCACGCUGGGGAGCCGGGCCCUCUCCCACGACAGUAUUUUCAUCCCCGAAUCGGGGCAGGACCCUCCUCGGCCAGUGCGGGUGUUUUCCCAAGAAAACGUGUGUGACCGGAUUAAAGCUCUGCAGUUAAAAAUACAGUGUAAUGUGAAAAUGGGGCCGCCGCCUCCUCCCGGGAGCCUUCCAACCAAGCGGGGAGAUGAUGCCGGCAUGAGCUCUGAGGAUGACGGUCUGCCCAGGAGCCCCCCCGAGAUGUCCCUGCUUCAUGACAUUGGUUCCAGCACUACCAUAAAGGUCUGUGUGGUUUCCUCAUCUCGGCCGCAGUCUCCAGACCAGCUCUUCUCCAGGCAAGCGAGCGAAACUUCCGCCUCCCCUAGGACCUCGGACAGCAGCAUGGUGCCCGUGGCUGACUUCGAUUACCCCCCAGAGUUCUCCUCCUGCCUGGACAACUCUGCGGCCAAGCACAAGCUCCUCGUCAAGCCCCGCAACCAGCGGUCCAGCAAGAUGAGGCGGCUGUCCUCGAGAGCACAGUCAGAAUCUCUGAGCGAUCUGACCUGCACCCCAGAGGAGGAGGAAGUCGAUGAGAAACCGCCACUCCAAGUCAGCACGGAGGAGCAGCCCAGUUCUGGGCAGCAGGAGGCAGGUCAGGACGGAGGCUCUGAGCCAGAGGGGCCCGCCCCUGUGUUGCCACCCGCGGGGCCCCGUGUGAGGCGGGCGCGCCUGCAGCACUGCCCGGCGCUCACUGCCAGCACCGAGGAGGAGAGCCCCCCAGGGGAGAACUCCAGCCGCCCGGCCACCCCAGAGGACACCCCGCAGGGCACGCUGGAAGCCACCCUGGAGGUCAUGGAGGUCACAGAGCCCCUGUCAGGCCCAACUCCCCACUCGGAGUCCCCAUCUCGCCCAGAAGGCUCCCCAGACCCUAAUCCCAACAGCGAGAACCAGAGGGAGGACCUGUCCUCGGAAAGCGCGUGUCCCCCAGGUGGGGACACAGCGGAUGAGGCGGUUUGUGCGUUGGGAGACAACGUCGAGGGUCGACUGUCUCCCUGCGUCCCGGAGGGGGACACGACCCCUCCUGAGCCAGGCCCAGCCGCCACCCAGGAGACGCCCCCUGGUCUGGACGGAACAGACAAGGCCGGCCAGAGGGAGCCGCUGCCGGCGCUGGACUUGCCGACGCCAGAGGGUGCAGGGCCGGAAAGUCCGGCCGCGGCCCCCAGCCCGCCGCCCCCCAAGAGCUGCUUGAAGCACAAGGCCCCCUCGCCACCCGCCUCCGCCUCCGAGGCGCCUCCCCAGCCGCCCGCGCCCCGAUCCCCGGAGCAGGGACUCGUCCCCCCGGGGCCCCCAAAGACCGAGCGGGCGGGGUCCCCCUCGGGGGCCCCGGAGCGCAAGACAGAGCGCGGAGGCUGCGAGGCGCGCGGGGCCGCCAAGAAGUUCUCGGUGUCGUCUGGCCGGGAGUGGCCGCGCGCGGGAGGCCGCCUGCUGGAGCCCCGUGGCCCCGCCGUACGGCUGCCGCUUCUCCGGAGCGGCCCGGCCUGGAAAAGCGAGGCCGCCCUCGACGACCUCCCGGCGCCCCCCGAGCCCCAGGGCCCCAAGCCCGGCCCUCGGAAGCCGCCUACCCCGGCCGAGCGCGGCUCUCCGGACACGGCCGACCCGGCUGCCCAGGAGCGGGCGGCAGGCGGGGAAGGAGGCCCGUUCCCCGUCAAGCUCCGCUCCACGUCUCUGUCCUUCAAACACAGAGAAGCUCCCUGCCCGGAGGGGAAGGCCAUCAAGAGGUACAGUGCGGAGGUCAGGCUGGAGAGAGGAGGGCUGAGCUUGCUGUCCAGGGACGACAAGGGGCCUCCGGGGAGCGGCCCCUCCACCCGAGGUGCCAGGCCUCCCAGUGAGCCGGGGAAGGCCAAGACCCUGCCCACGGAGCAGCUCAGUUCCAAGCCGCCCCUGCCCAGGAAGCCCUUGCUACAGACCCUCACCCUCCCGCAGCUGCCGGCGCCCCCUGACACCAGCUCUGGGGACCCCGAGAAGGUGGGGCUGCCCAUGGAUCCUCGGAAGGAGAGCCGGGCUGAGAGGAGGUCACCGCACAGGGCAGUUGAGAAGGUAGCAGGGCCUGGAACCAACAGCCAGCCCGUGCCUCCCUGGAUCACCGUGGGGCGCCAGAAGCGCCGAGGACCUCUGGAGCAGCCCCCCAGCCAGGAAGACAAACCUGCGGCCCGGACCUUGAAGUCUGACACAGGAAGGCCCGCCAAGGAGCCCGUGAAGCAUGCCGACUUUGUCCGCAGCAAGUCUUUCCUGCUGGCCCCGGCCAAGCCUCCUGCGGACCAGAGGCCAGGGGCAAAGCUCCGCCUCCAGGAGGGCCUGCAAAGAGGAGUCUCCCUGUCCCAUCAGAAUUUGGCAGCCCCGUCGGCAGUGAUGAUGGAGAAAGAAUUGCAUCAGCUGAAGCGAGCCAGCUACAGCAGCACAGAUCAGCCCUCCUGGAUGGAGCUGGCCAGAAAGAAAUCGCAAGCUUGGAGUGACAUGCCCCAAAUUAUAAAAUAGGUUUAACAGUGCUCGGGUUUCGAGAGAUCGAGCUCAGGGAAGAGGGAGGAACCAGGCAAGCAAGUCAGACGGACGCACGGCCCCGGGCCCCGGGCCAGAGACGCCCGAAGACAAGAACACCAUUGAAAAGGGCCAGGGACGAGGUUCUGUGCCCACAG